AAUGAACGCUGGCGGCGUGGAUAAGACAUGCAAGUCGAACGAAGAACGAUUUAGUUUACUAAUGAAUUCUUAGUGGCGGACGGGUUAGUAACGCGUGAGCAACUUGCCUCAAAGAGGGGGAUAGUCCUGGGAAACUGGGUUUAAUACCGCAUGUGCUCUUCGGAGUAAAGAGGGCUUCGGCUCUCGCUUUGAGAUAGGCUCGCGUCCUAUCAGCUAGUUGGUGAGGUAAAGGCUCACCAAGGCGACGACGGGUAGUUGGUCUGAGAGGACGACCAGCAACACUGGAACUGAGACACGGUCCAGACACCUACGGGUGGCAGCAGUCGAGAAUCAUUCACAAUGGACGAAAGUCUGAUGGUGCAACGCCGCGUGUAGGAUGAAGGCCCUAGGGUCGUAAACUACUGUCAUGUGAGAGUAAGGCAUAGGAGUUAAUAACUUUUAUGUUUGAUAGUAUCACAAGAGGAAGGGACGGCUAACUUCG
rnacentral:rRNA from 1 species